rnacentral:rRNA from 1 species
CAAGUAGAACGCUGAAGCUUGGUGCUUGCACCGAGCGGAUGAGUUGCGAACGGGUGAGUAACGCGUAGGUAACCUGCCUCUUAGCGGGGGAUAACUAUUGGAAACGAUAGCUAAUACCGCAUAAAAGACGAUAUCGCAUGAUAUUGAUUUGAAAGGUGCAAAUGCAUCACUAAGAGAUGGACCUGCGUUGUAUUAGCUAGUUGGUGAGGUAACGGCUCACCAAGGCAACGAUACAUAGCCGACCUGAGAGGGUGAUCGGCCACACUGGGACUGAGACACGGCCCAGACUCCUACGGGAGGCAGCAGUAGGGAAUCUUCGGCAAUGGGGGCAACCCUGACCGAGCAACGCCGCGUGAGUGAAGAAGGUUUUCGGAUCGUAAAGCUCUGUUGUAAGAGAAGAACGAGUGUGAGAGUGGAAAGUUCACACUGUGACGGUAACUUACCAGAAAGGGACGGCUAACUACGUGCCAGCAGCCGCGGUAAUACGUAGGUCCCGAGCGUUGUCCGGAUUUAUUGGGCGUAAAGCGAGCGCAGGCGGUUAGAUAAGUCUGAAGUUAAAGGCUGUGGCUUAACCAUAGUACGCUUUGGAAACUGUUUAACUUGAGUGCAGAAGGGGAGAGUGGAAUUCCAUGUGUAGCGGUGAAAUGCGUAGAUAUAUGGAGGAACACCGGUGGCGAAAGCGGCUCUCUGGUCUGUAACUGACGCUGAGGCUCGAAAGCGUGGGGAGCAAACAGGAUUAG